rnacentral:rRNA from 6 species
AGAGUUUGAUCAUGGCUCAGAUUGAACGCUGGCGGCAGGCCUAACACAUGCAAGUCGAACGGUAACAGGAAGCAGCUUGCUGCUUCGCUGACGAGUGGCGGACGGGUGAGUAAUGUCUGGGAAACUGCCUGAUGGAGGGGGAUAACUACUGGAAACGGUGGCUAAUACCGCAUAACGUCGCAAGACCAAAGAGGGGGACCUUCGGGCCUCUUGCCAUCAGAUGUGCCCAGAUGGGAUUAGCUUGUUGGUGAGGUAACGGCUCACCAAGGCGACGAUCCCUAGCUGGUCUGAGAGGAUGACCAGCCACACUGGAACUGAGACACGGUCCAGACUCCUACGGGAGGCAGCAGUGGGGAAUAUUGCACAAUGGGCGCAAGCCUGAUGCAGCCAUGCCGCGUGUAUGAAGAAGGCCUUCGGGUUGUAAAGUACUUUCAGCGGGGAGGAAGGUGUUGUGGUUAAUAACCGCAGCAAUUGACGUUACCCGCAGAAGAAGCACCGGCUAACUCCGUGCCAGCAGCCGCGGUAAUACGGAGGGUGCAAGCGUUAAUCGGAAUUACUGGGCGUAAAGCGCACGCAGGCGGUCUGUCAAGUCGGAUGUGAAAUCCCCGGGCUCAACCUGGGAACUGCAUUCGAAACUGGCAGGCUUGAGUCUUGUAGAGGGGGGUAGAAUUCCAGGUGUAGCGGUGAAAUGCGUAGAGAUCUGGAGGAAUACCGGUGGCGAAGGCGGCCCCCUGGACAAAGACUGACGCUCAGGUGCGAAAGCGUGGGGAGCAAACAGGAUUAGAUACCCUGGUAGUCCACGCCGUAAACGAUGUCUACUUGGAGGUUGUGCCCUUGAGGCGUGGCUUCCGGAGCUAACGCGUUAAGUAGACCGCCUGGGGAGUACGGCCGCAAGGUUAAAACUCAAAUGAAUUGACGGGGGCCCGCACAAGCGGUGGAGCAUGUGGUUUAAUUCGAUGCAACGCGAAGAACCUUACCUGGUCUUGACAUCCACGGAAGUUUUCAGAGAUGAGAAUGUGCCUUCGGGAACCGUGAGACAGGUGCUGCAUGGCUGUCGUCAGCUCGUGUUGUGAAAUGUUGGGUUAAGUCCCGCAACGAGCGCAACCCUUAUCCUUUGUUGCCAGCGGUUAGGCCGGGAACUCAAAGGAGACUGCCAGUGAUAAACUGGAGGAAGGUGGGGAUGACGUCAAGUCAUCAUGGCCCUUACGACCAGGGCUACACACGUGCUACAAUGGCGCAUACAAAGAGAAGCGACCUCGCGAGAGCAAGCGGACCUCAUAAAGUGCGUCGUAGUCCGGAUUGGAGUCUGCAACUCGACUCCAUGAAGUCGGAAUCGCUAGUAAUCGUGGAUCAGAAUGCCACGGUGAAUACGUUCCCGGGCCUUGUACACACCGCCCGUCACACCAUGGGAGUGGGUUGCAAAAGAAGUAGGUAGCUUAACCUUCGGGAGGGCGCUUACCACUUUGUGAUUCAUGACUGGGGUGAAGUCGUAACAAGGUAACCGUAGGGGAACCUGCGGUUG